CAGUCGCCGCGGGAAUACGUAGGGCGCAAGCGUUGUCCGGAAUCAUUGGGCGUAAAGCGCGUGUAGGCGGCUGAGUAAGUCUGCUGUGAAAGUCCAGGGCUCAACCCUGGAAUGUCGGCAGAUACUGCUUAGCUAGAGUACGGGAGGGGCGAGUGGAAUUCCUGGUGUAGCGGUGGAAUGCGCAGAUAUCAGGAGGAACACCUAUGGCGAAGGCAGCUCGCUGGAACGUUACUGACGCUGAGACGCGAAAGCGUGGGGAGCAAACAGGAUUAGAUACCCGCGUAGUCCCUGUCUCUUAUAC
rnacentral:rRNA from 1 species